rnacentral:rRNA from 1 species
CCUACGGGAGGCAGCAGUGAGGAAUAUUGGUCAAUGGGCGGAAGCCUGAACCAGCCAAGUAGCGUGCAGGAUGACGGCCCUACGGGUUGUAAACUGCUUUUAUACGGGAAUAACGCGCCUUAAGUGUAGGGCUUUGCAUGUACCGGAUGAAUAAGGAACGGCUAAUUCCGUGCCAGCAGCCGCGGUAAUACGGAAGGUCCGGGCGUUAUCCGGAUUUAUUGGGUUUAAAGGGAGCGUAGGCCGCAUGUCAAGCGUGCUGGGAAAGGUCCGGGCUCAACCCGGGCCUUGCAGCGCGAACUGGCGUGCUUGAGGCCGCGGAAGGCAGGCGGAAUUCGUCGUGUAGCGGUGAAAUGCUUAGAUAUGACGAAGAACCCCGAUUGCGAAGGCAGCUUGCUGCAGCGGAACUGACGCUGAUGCUCGAAAGCGCGGGUAUCGAACAGGAUUAGAUACCCCUGUAGUC